rnacentral:rRNA from 1 species
AGUGAACGCUGGCGGUAGGCCUAACACAUGCAAGUCGAACGGCAGCACAGUAAGAGCUUGCUCUUACGGGUGGCGAGUGGCGGACGGGUGAGGAAUACAUCGGAAUCUACUUUUUCGUGGGGGAUAACGUAGGGAAACUUACGCUAAUACCGCAUACGACCUACGGGUGAAAGCAGGGGAUCUUCGGACCUUGCGCGAUUGAAUGAGCCGAUGUCGGAUUAGCUAGUUGGCGGGGUAAAGGCCCACCAAGGCGACGAUCCGUAGCCGGUCUGAGAGGAUGAUCAGCCACACUGGAACUGAGACACGGUCCAGACUCCUACGGGAGGCAGCAGUGGGGAAUAUUGGACAAUGGGCGCAAGCCUGAUCCAGCCAUACCGCGUGGGUGAAGAAGGCCUUCGGGUUGUAAAGCCCUUUGGUUGGGAAAGAAAAGCAGCAGGUUAAUACCCCGCUGUUCUGACGGUACCCAAAGAAUAAGCACCGGCUAACUUCGUG